rnacentral:rRNA from 1 species
AUAUCAAUAAGCGGAGGAAAAGAAACUAACAAGGAUUCCCUUAGUAGCGGCGAGCGAAACGGGAAUAGCCCAACUUGAAAAUCUCCAUUGGAGAAUUGUAGUCUAUAGAAGUGCCCUCUGUAGCGGCAUGGCCCUAAGUUCCCUGGAAAGGGACGUCAGAGAGGGUGAGAACCCCGUCGGGCCUCGCUUAGCUACCUCACGAGGUGCUUUCCACGAGUCGGGUUGCUUGGGAAUGCAGCCCUAAGUGGGUGGUAAAUCCCAUCUAAGGCUAAAUAUUGGCGAGAGACCGAUAGCGCACAAGUA